GCAAGUCGAACGAGAACGGAUUAAAGCUUGCUUUAAUUGUCAGCUAAGUGGCGCACGGGUGAGUAAUAUAUAGGUAACGUGCCUUCAAGAAGGGGAUAACGUUUGGAAACGAACGCUAAUACCCUAUAUGCCUUUAAGUCUUAAGACUGCAAGGGAAACAUUUAUGGCUCUAGGAUGGGACUGUACGGUAUCAGUUAGUUGGUGAGGUAAUGGCUCACCAAGGCAAUGACAUCUAACUGGUUUGAGAGGAUGAUC
rnacentral:rRNA from 1 species